UAAAACUCAAAUGAAUUGACGGGGGCCCGCACAAGCGGUGGAGCAUGUGGUUUAAUUCGAUGCAACGCGAAGAACCUUACCUGGUCUUGACAUCCACGGAAGUUUUCAGAGAUGAGAAUGUGCCUUCGGGAACUGUGAGACAGGUGCUGCAUGGCUGUCGUCAGCUCGUGUUGUGAAAUGUUGGGUUAAGUCCCGCAACGAGCGCAACCCUUAUCCUUUGUUGCCAGCGAUUAGGUCGGGAACUCAAAGGAGACUGCCAGUGAUAAACUGGAGGAAGGUGGGGAUGACGUCAAGUCAUCAUGGCCCUUACGACCAGGGCUACACACGUGCUAC
rnacentral:rRNA from 1 species